rnacentral:lncRNA from 1 species
CAGAGACCCUGCGAUCCCGACUUCGGCGACCGCAGAGCUCGGCUAUGUUGCAAAUAUGCAGAGAAUUAGGACGGAAGACUUGUCUACCAUUAUAAAGUCCCCCAGCUUCCUGCCACUUGCCUGACAUUUACUGAGUAUGCACUGCAUGAAGAAAAAAAAAAUAAGAGGUGCCACUGGAUCAGCACAGGACUCUGGGCCAGUCUACCUGGGUCUGGUAACCCACUUGCUACGUGAUCAAUUCAAGUUGCCUAACUUCUUUGUACCACAGUUUCCUCCUCGGUAAAAUGGGGAUAAAUAAAGUACCUCCUUCACAGGAUUUUGG